rnacentral:lncRNA from 1 species
UAAUUUUUGCCUAACAAUCUAAAUCACGAUUAAAUUCAAAACAAUAAUAACCAAAAAAAAGCAACUACUUCAGUAACUCAAACUUUAAGAAACAUAAUAUAAACUCUACAACAAACACAAAAUUCAUAAGAAACUCAUAAGAGAAGAAACAAUCACAGAAGCAAUUUUGCACUUAUCGCCACUAUUAACAAGUAAAAUAAAGAUAAGCGAGAGAUGUUGAACCUCAAAAGCAAUAAAACGCAACAACUACAUAGAUCUAGACCCCAAAAAUUAAGCGAGAAACAGCAACAAGAAUCUGACAGGAACCGCGACUGAAAUGACCGGAGACCGUAAAUCCGAACCAAAUUCAGCACCUCAAUCACUCAAAAAUUGAAUAAUCUCCAUUCUUUUUAUGUGAGAUUCGUAAUAUAUUACACCAAAAACAUUAUCUUAACCUUGGCUCUAAUAUAGAAAAAUGGUUGCUUCAUCUAAGUUUUGUAAAUGGACCAGAAAAUACAAGAUGAAGUAUUAGACUUUGUUACUCCUUGGAUUGUCGUUCCCCUUUGUUCUUGUCCAUUCUUCUGUUCCUCUUACUUUGCGUGGGUGUGUGUGUGAUUGUCAAUUCUUUUGCUGGCACCAUCACCAGAUAUGUGAAGAAAGGAGGAGUUAAAGAAAAAAAGUGGAAAAUGGUUGUUGAUGUUGGCCGGCGACGUCAAUGGUGAAAGUGGCAGAAGGGUUGUGUGUGUGGGGGGGGAGGGGGGGAGGUCGGCAAUUUGGUGGUGUAGGUUGAAGGUGAAGGCUCUAUUUUUGUCUUAGGGUCGGAGUUUACUAAAGAUGAAAAAGAAG